GGUGUUUGAAUAUACCUUGAAAAUGAUUAUGGACCAAAUAGUUCUGCCAUUAUAUAUUUUAGAGUUACGACUGCAACUUAAUCCGUCUCUCUAAAAUAAUUCGACUUACCAUGGAUUUGAAAAUCUCCCCUCAGAAGGCCGACACGGCCGUGUUCGAAGGAGACGCCGGCGGGUACUACGCCUGGACCGCCGCCACCCUGCCGGUGCUCGCCACCGCCAAGCUCGCCGCCGGCAAGCUCGUCCUCCACCGCCGCGGCUACGCCUUACCCCACUACGCCGACGCUUUCAAGAUUGGCUACGUCACCCAAGGAUCGUGCACCGUGGGAUUGGUGCCCCCAAACAGCUCCGACGAGAAAGUGGUGGUAAUAAAGAAAGGCGACGCCAUCCCCGUGCCGAUGGGGACCAUUUCCUGGUGGUUCAACGCCGGCGACGGCGCCGCCGUCCUCGUCUUCCUCGGCGAGAGCAGCCGCUCCUACACCGCCGGAAUGUUCGACUACUACUUCCUCGCCGGAGCCAUUGGCGUCCUCCGAGGGUUCUCGACCGACUUCGUCGCCAAGAUGUACGGCCUCAGCCCGCCGGACGCCGAGAAGGUCGCCGGCGGCCAGCCCUACCCGCUGCUCGUGAAGCUCGCCGGCGACGAGCGGCUACCGCGCGAAUCGAGCUGCGACGUCGGCGAGCACGCGUUUAAUCUGGAGGGUGGGAUUGAUCAGGGACGGCCGCGCGUGGAGAUCACGGGGGAGAAGUUUGGAUUGCUGGAUGAAGUUGGCCUCAGCGCCGCCUUGGUGAGGGCCGCCGCCGGGAGGUUCGCGGCGGAGCCGUCGUACAGCACCGCCGCGACGUACCGGAUGAUCUACGUCGUCAGAGGCGGCGGGCGCGUGCAGAUCGUUGGCCUCAACGGCGCGGCGGCGCUGGACGCCGCCGCGCUGGAGGAUGAGAUGUUCGUUGUGCCGCCGUUCUUCGCCGUCGCCAUUCUCGCCGGAGAAGAUGGGAUCGAGCUUUUCAGCGUGUCCACGUCAGCAAGGCCGGAGUGGGGCCAGCUGGCAGGACACGUGUCGGCGUGGAAGGCAUUGUCGGAGCCGGUCCUAGUGGCGGCGCUCAAUGUGAGUCCAGCACUGGUGAGGCGUUUCAAGUCAGCCGUACGCCUGGAACGAAGAUGUCGUCCGCCCUCUCCGCUGCUGCCAUUUCAUGUACACGACAUCCCCGCCGCUCCUUCGGCGCGCCGCCGUUGCACAGUCUGCAGAACCGUGCUACUCGAUUCCAUCAGACGAAGGAUAGGCGGUUUCUUUCUCUCUCGCGCGCGAUGCCUUUCGACCUCUCCCCUCCUCCCAUCGACUUCGACCUCGCUGAUUCUGCAACUCUUGUGGAAGUUGAACCACAGGAAAACAGGAAAGCAACUACAUAUGGCGAUGAUGAUGAUGCAUUGGAUGCAGUUGAUAAUGGUGCUGCGGUGGUUGAUCUUUCGGAUUAUGGCCGAAUACGAGGGGUGUGACACAGCUUUUGUGACUGCAACUGCUCGAACAAUUGAUAUUUCCCACGCAUGGGUCAUGAGAAAUGCAAUAUUGCUGGUGGUCUCACCUAUGACUUGCGGGAGCAUAGCUGAAAUGCUGAACAAGUACAUAUUUUUCUCUGACAAGGUGGAAAUUCAAGAUAUCACUAACCAGACUAGAAUGUUUGCAUUAUUGGGGCCUAAAAGCAGCACAAUAAUGGAGGAAUUGAAUCUAGGUGAUCUUGUUGGACAACCAUAUGGCACUCACAAACAUUACAGUGUUAGUGGGAUGCCAUUAACUGUGGCAGUAGGAAGCAUCAUUUCACAGACAGGUUUCACAAUCAUGAUGUCACGAGCUGCCGCAGACACUGUCUGGAAAGCCCUUCUAGAUCAAGGUGCAAUUCAUAUGAGCCCCAGUGCUUGGGAGACAUUACGGAUUCUACGAGGAAGGCCUGCUCCUGGUAAAGAACUAACUAACGAAUAUAAUGUUUUAGAGGCUGGUUUGUGGAAUGCUGUUUCUUUGAAUAAAGGGUGUUAUAAAGGACAAGAGACAAUUUCGAGACUUGUAACUUAUGAUGGAGUCAAGCAGAGGCUGUGGGGUAUUCAAUUGUCAUCUCCUGCAGAACCGGGAAGUGUCAUUACAGUGGACGGCAAGAAGGUUGGUAAACUAACAAGUGUUACACUUGGUACGAAAGCUUCGGGGCAUUUUGGAUUAGCUUAUGUCAAGAGGACUGCCUCAGUGGGAGACUCGGUAACUGUUAGUGAUGGGAUCAUGGGGACACUUGUAGAAGUUCCAUAUCUCAAGGAACAACUUCCACUUCAAUAGCCAUAGCCCGGUGGCUCUAAGCUUCCUUGUUUGCCUCUUGACCUGAGUUGGUACAUUUGAUGUCCUUGUUGAUGGCUGACCUCUGUUACACUUUUUGGAUAUCAAAUUAAAUUCCAUUGGAUUAUGGUGUGUCGUACACUCAUCAGGUAGUGAGUGUCAUCAAGAGCUCUCAUGCACUACAAGCUGAAAAUCUUAUAUUGUCUUCAAGAGCAAUGACAAAUGCAAGUAGAUAUAAAAGAUGCAAGCUUACACUUAUAGUUUGUGAUAAUACCUAUAUUAUACAGUUGUGGAGAUGUGAAAUUGAAGCAGUGUAGAC